UGGGGAAUUUUGGACAAUGGGCGAAAGCCUGAUCCAGCAAUGCCGCGUGUGUGAAGAAGGCCUUCGGGUUGUAAAGCACUUUUGUCCGGAAAGAAAUCCUUGGCUCUAAUACAGUCGGGGGAUGACGGUACCGGAAGAAUAAGCACCGGCUAACUACGUGCCAGCAGCCGCGGUAAUACGUAGGGUGCAAGCGUUAAUCGGAAUUACUGGGCGUAAAGCGUGCGCAGGCGGUUUGCUAAGACCGAUGUGAAAUCCCCGGGCUCAACCUGGGGACUGCAUUGGUGACUGGCAGGCUAGAGUAUGGCAGAGGGGGGUAGAAUUCCACGUGUAGCAGUGAAAUGCGUAGAGAUGUGGAGGAAUACCGAUGGCGAAGGCAGCCCCCUGGGCCAAUACUGACGCUCAUGCACGAAAGCGUGGGGAGCAAACAGGAUUAGAUACCCUGGUAGUCCACGCCCUAAAACGAUGUCAACUAGUUGUUGGGGAUUCAUUUCCUUAGUAACGUAGCUAACGCGUGAAGUUGACCGCCUGGGGAGUACGGUCGCAAGAUUAAAACUCAAAUGAAUUGACGGGGUCAUAGCUGUUUCCU
rnacentral:rRNA from 1 species